UUAAAUCCUAAAAAAAUGAAUGCAUUGGCCAUAUUCUUAUUAGAGAAAUUGUAACUGUGUUUAAUUGUGCUUUAGGUGGGGAUGACAAUCACCUUUUUUCUAGUAUCACUAAAGAUAAGAGAGAAGGGAGUUUCCUUUCCCAUGGUAUUUUCCAUUUCACUGCAGUUCCGCGAGGUAAGUCUCUCUCUCGCUCUCUCUCUCUCUCUCUCUCUCUCACAUACACACACACACGCACAUGCACACAUAUGCACACUGAUACACAUCGAUGCGGUGUUUAGUUUAAAUGUUAAAAUGUUUACUGUAUUGACUUGUAAUUGUUGUAUUUCUGGUUGCCUUCCUAUGGUUUACAGUAAGGUAAUUCUGUAUCUCUGUCUCUCUCUCUCUCUGUCUCUCACACACACAAACACACGGAUAGUUUUUAAUUAAUUUUUUUUUUUUUACGCUAUUGACUUUAUUCUAUCUGUGUAGGGAGUUUCCAUUCCCGUGUUGCUUUCCCUCCCAGUGAAGUUCAAAAUCAGUGCAGCUAAUCCACAUAAGUCUCUCUCUCUCUCUCUCUUUUACUCUCUUUCACUUUCUCUCUCUCUCAUCUCAUGCAAACACACAUACCAAUUGUCUUGGCUGAUUGCCAACGUUUGCGGUGUAUAUUAAUCCUAAGUUAAAAGUUUUACUGAAUUUACUUUAUCGUAUUUUUGCAGGAAGUUGCUCAUCAUCAUCCCGUCAAUCUCCCCCUCCCAGAAUCAGUGAAGUUCAUCCACAUAAAACUCUCUCUCUCUCUCGUAACUCUCACUCUCCUAUUUACAGACAUACAGUAUUUACUGUAGUCCACCCCAAAAGACAGUGAUUUAUCAGAAAUAGUUACUGGGUCUGUAUUUAAAAAAAAAAGUCCAUUGGCCAUAUUCCUAUUAGAGAAAUUGUAUCUGUGUUUAAUUGUGCUUUAGGUUUAGCUUUACCUUUUUCUUCUAGUAUCACUAAAGAUAAGGUAUGUACAUGCAUCUUUGUCUCUUUCUGCCUCUCAUUCUGUCUCCCUCUCUCUCUCUCUCUCUCUCUCUCUUUCUCUCUCACACACACACACACACACACACACAUUCUGUCCAUAAAAAUAAUGAAUAGAACCGGUAACAAAGGACAGCCCUGCCGGAGUCCAACAUGCACUGGGAACAAGUCUGACUUACAUCUGGCAAUGCAAUCCAAGCUCCUUCUGCUCUCUCAGAGCACAUCCCACAGAAUGCCACAAGGGACACAGUUCAAUGCCUUCUCCAAGCCCACAAAACACAUGUGAACUGGUUGAGCAAACUCCCACGAAUGCUCAAGCACCCUGUGGAGGGUACAGAGCUGGUCCAGUCUUUCAUGACUAGGAUGAAAACCGUAUUGUUCCUCCUGAAUCCGAGGUUUGAUUAAUGUUCAGACUCUCCUCUUCAGUAUCCUGGAAUAGACUUUCCCUGGGAGGCUGAGGAGUAUGAUCCCCCUAUAGUUGGAACACACCCUCCGAUCCCCUUUCUUAAAAAGAGGGACCACCUCAGUCGCCCAGUCCAGAGGACCUGUCCCUAACUGCCACAAUAUGUUGCAUGAGACCUAAGGUAUUCAGAGUGAAUCUCAUCUAUCCCUGGUGCCUUGCCACAGAGGAGCUGCUGAACUACAUCAGUGACUUCAGCUUGGGUGACGGAUGAAUCUGCCUCUGAGUCCUCAGCCUCUGCUUCCUCUACAGAAGGCGUCAGUGGGAUUGAGGAGAUCCUUGAAGUUUUCCUUCCAUCGUCCGACAAUCCCCAGUCAAGGUCAGCAACUCUCUACCUUCACUGUAAACAGUGCUUGCCCCUUCUGAGGUGCUGAAUGGUCUGCCAGAAUUUCCCCAAGGCCAACCUAUAGUCCUUCUCCAUGGCCUCACUGAACUCCUCCCAGACCUGAGUUUUUGCUUCCACAACCACCCAGGUUGUGGCUUGCUUGGUCUGCCAGUACUCAUCAGCUGCCUCCAGGGUUCCACGAGCCAACCAGGCUCGAUAGGACUCCUUCUUCAGCUUGACUGCAUCCCUUACUUCCAGUAUCCAUCACUGGGUUCGGGGAUUGCCACCAUGACAGGCACCAGAGACCUUACAGCCACAGCUCCAGACAGCUGCGUCAACAAUGGAGAAGGAGAACAUGUUCCACUCAGACUCAAUGUUCCCAACCUCCUUUGGAAUCUGGUUGAAUCUCUUCCGGAGGUGGGAGUUGAUGACCCCCCCUAACAGAGGGUUCAGCAAGACGUUCUCAACACACCCCCACAAUACGUUUGGGUCUGCCAAGUCUGUCCGGCAUCCUCCUCUGUAAGCGGAUCCAACUCGCCACCAGGUGGUGAUCGGUUGACAGCUCAGCCCCUCUCUUCACUCGAGUGUCCAAGACAUACGGCCGAAGGUCAGAUGACACGACCACAAGGUCGAUCAUUGACCUCCGGCCUAGGGUGUCCUGGUAGCAUGUUGUACUGAUGUGACCAUGAGUAGCACAGAAGUCCAACAACAGAACACCACUUGAGUUCAGAUCAGGGGGAGUUCCUCCCAAUCACGCCCCUCCAGGUAUCACUGUCAUUGCCCACAUGUGCGUUGAAGUCCCCCAGUAGAACUAUGCACCCCUCGCAGGGUCUCCAAGAAGGGUACGCCACACUGCUGUUGGGCCCAUAAGCCGAACCAAUGGUGAGACACCUAUCCCCAACCUGAAUGUGCAGGGAAACAACUCUCUUAUUUACCAGGGAAAAUUCCAACACAUGGUGGCUGAGCUGGGGGGCUAUAAGCAAGCGCCACCUCUCACCAGUAAUAGAGGGUCCAACCUCUCUCAAGGAGUUGAGUUCCAGAGCCCAGGCUGUGUGUGGAGGCGAGCCUACACAUGAGGGGAUCUGAACCGCUCUUAGUCUGGCCUGUCACCUAGGACCCCAUUUGCCUUGAGAGACCCUACUAGGAGCACUAGGACCCCGACAACAAGGAUCUUUCGGGUACUCAAACCCCUCCACCACAAUAAGGUGGCGGUUCAGGGAGGGGCCCGAUACUGUUUUUAAUUUUAAAUUUAAAAGGUUUAACGUAUUAACUUUAACUGUAUUUGUGUAGGGAGUUUCCUUAACCGUGGUGUUUUCCAUUCCAGUGCAGUUCCGCAAGGGAGUUUCCAUUCCCGUGUUGCUUUCACUCCCGAGGUUCAGCAAGGAAGUUGCUCAUCAUCAUCCCGUCAAUCUCCCCCUCCCAGAAUCAGUAAAGUUCAUCCAUGGGGGAUUCGUAAUUCUCACCUUCCUAAGUCUGAAAGAAGAGAUGAACUGUCUGCAAAAAAUGGAAAAUUAUGGAAUGGAAAAAAACUGGACUUCCACUCAAAACAGAAGGAACUGGCAAAAGUGAGAAACUUGAAGAUCACCAAAUACUGACAGUCUCUCUACAGCACUCCUCAACCUACAGUCUAUCUCUCUUUUCUCUCUAUCUAUCUUUUUUUGCUUGUUGUGGAAUAAUGGAAUAAUCAGUGCAAUCUUUAUAUGAAUUACUUAGAAUUAAGGAUUUUUAUACAGGGAGUGUUUUAGAUUAUUGAUAUAAUGUAUGCUUAAACCAAUGUAUAGCUGCUUUGGUUUUGGUAUCUCUUACACAAAAUAUAUUCAUGUUGUUUUAGUGGUUUACAGUGUCUAACAUUCUUUAAACCAAACAAUAAUAAAAAAAAAAAAAUCUUUCUACUCAUGUUAAAGAAAGUUUUAAUCAUUUUUAUUUUAGGAAAAGUCUUACAGUGGAUCAGAAGAUUUUUCAUUUCAAGACCAUCUCUACACCUAUAUAAUUUUAUCCCCCAAUUAUUUAAGACGUUCUUGUAAUAACUUUCCUGAAAUAUUUAGAGCAGUUGGUUUUUCACCAAAAUGUACUUUGUGUUAUUCUGACCCAAUAGCUUUUAAUAAUAUAUUUUAAAAAAGUUUCCUUAAACCCUUAUAUGUUUUUUUUUUUUUAGUUUGUAGUUGUAUUUAUUUA